GGGGACUGCCCGGCCUCAAGGAGAUCAAUCUGUCGUUUGGUGAGAUCACAGAAGCAGCUGCUCUGGUUGUGGCUCAGGCCGUCGGAGACAAACCUGACAUGGAGAAAGUGGAUCUCAACGUGAUGAUGAAGGAGAACCUGAGGAUGAAGAUGAUGAUUAAGACGACCAUGAAAACGAGGAGGAGGAUGAUGAUGAUGCCAGUGACGACUACAAUGAAGACAAUGAAGACGGAGAAAUCCUGAAGGAAAACGGAACAACCAAAAAAGACGAUAGUCCA